UACGGAGGGCGCAAGCGUUGUUCGGAAUCACUGGGCGUAAAGCGCGUGUAGGCGGCUUGGUAAGUCGGGUGUGAAAGCCCCGAGCUCAAUUCCGGAGCUGCAUUCGAAACUACCUCGCUCGAGUCCCGGAGAGGGUGGUGGAAUUCCCGGUGUAGAGGUGAAAUUCGUAGAUAUCGUGAGGAAGACCAGUGGCGAAGGCGGCCACCUGGACGGUGACUGACGCUGAGACGAGAAAGCGUGGGGAGCACACAGU
rnacentral:rRNA from 1 species